GAGUUUGAUCCUGGCUCAGAAUCAACGCUGGCGGCGCGCUUAACACAUGCAAGUCGAGCGAGAAAGUGGAGCAAUCCACGAGUAAAGCGGCGUACGGGUGAGUAACACGUGGGUAAUCUACCUCUUAGUGGGGAAUAACCCUGGGAAACCGGGGCUAAUACCGCAUAAUCUCGAGAGAGGAAAGCAGCAAUGCGCCGAGAGAGGAGCCCGCGGCCGAUUAGCUAGUUGGCAGGGUAAAAGCCUACCAAGGCAUAGAUCGGUAGCCGGCCUGAGAGGGCACACGGCCACACUGGCACUGAAACACGGGCCAGACUCCUACGGGAGGCAGCAGUGGGGAAUCUUGCACAAUGGGGGCAACCCUGAUGCAGCGACGCCGCGUGAGCGAUGAAGCCCUUCGGGGUGUAAAGCUCUUUCGUCAGGGAAGAUUAUGACGGUACCUGGAGAAGCAGCUGCGGCUAACUACGUGCCAGCAGCCGCGGUAAUACGUAGGCAGCGAGCGUUGUUCGGAGUUACUGGGCGUAAAGGGUGUGUAGGCGGUUGUUUAAGUUUGGUGUGAAAUCUCCCGGCUCAACUGGGAGGGUGCGCCGAAUACUGAAUGACUCGAGUGCGGGAGAGGAGAGUGGAAUUCCUGGUGUAGCGGUGGAAUGCGUAGAUAUCAGGAGGAACACCGGCGGUGUAGACGGCUCUCUGGACCGUAACUGACGCUGAAACACGAAAGCGUGGGUAGCAAACAGGAUUAGAUACCCUGGUAGUCCACGCCCUAAACGAUGCAUAUUUGGUGUGGGUCAUUCAGUUGAUCCGUGCCGGAGCUAACGCGUUAAAUAUGCCGCCUGGGGAGUACAGUCGCAAGGCUGAAACUCAAAGGAAUUGACGGGGGCCCGCACAAGCGGUGGAGCAUGUGGUUCAAUUCGACGCAACGCGGAGAACCUUACCUGGGCUCGAACGGCUGGUCAACGCCGGUGGAAACAUCGGUACCCCGCAAGGGGGUCCAGUCGAGGUGCUGCAUGGCUGUCGUCAGCUCCUGUC
rnacentral:rRNA from 1 species